UACGAAGGGUGCAAACGUUGCUCGGAAUUAUUGGGCGUAAAGCGCACGUAGGCGGCUUGGCAAGUCGGAUGUGAAAUCCCUCGGCUCAACCAAGGAAGUGCAUCCGAAACUGCUGAGCUUGAGUACUUAAGAGGAUCGCGGAAUUCCCGGUGUAGAGGUGAAAUUCGUAGAUAUCGGGAGGAACACCAGUGGCGAAGGCGGGUCUCUGGGCAGUAACUGACGCUGAGAAGCGAAAGCGUGGGGAGCGAACAGG
rnacentral:rRNA from 1 species